AUUUGCUUUGUCCUAGGCAGAGUUUUCUGGAUCCAUUUUUAAAUAUAGGACAAGUUUAAAGUGAAACUAAUAAUUACUUUAUUCUAAUAAGUAUGCAAAUGACAGGUCUGCAAAUUGGACAAAAAACUGCAAGUGAAGAGCAUUUGAAAUUAUGCCCAAUAUCACAUAUUUUGUGGUAGCCUACGGUUGUCUUACAUCCUGUUUUUUUUGUAGAAUUGUAUGCCUCUUUUGUCAGAAUUUGUGUAGUCCUAUUGAGUUGACUCAGCGUGAGGUUUAGUCUUGUGGGUUUUUCUAGGUUGUGUGUGUAUUGUGCUAGCAUCUAGAUAUCUGUGUCAGGGUGGAGGCCUUGCUCCAUUUGCACACAAUGAUUCGUUCUCAAAAGAAAAUACUUUUUUGAACUAUUAUGUUAAACAUACGGCCAGUAUGGAAGAUCUUUGUUUACAUAGUUUUUGAAAAAUACUCUGAAAUUAGCAGGUUUUUUCCAACUAUCUAGCUUACAAUUUUGUUUGUUCUUAAUAACAUACUGAGGAUGAAUUUUUUCUCAUGAGGGAGAUGUUCUUGGUCAAUAAAAGCAGAUGGGGGCAGGGACUUGACGCUUCAGUUUUUCAGCAAGUGAAACGCCUGCUGAGGUAUUCAAUCUACUGUCUGUGAAUACUUCUAGAGUUUAUUUUAUUAGCUCAUACGAUUUAGUGUACAAAUAAUAAGCUUGCUCUUAGUCUAGAGUAACAGGAGAAGGACGCUGUCACGUUUCCAUUGGCACAGGUCACUCUAGAAGGCCUUGUUGGUCUCAAUGUGGCACUGAUGUGUACUGGCAGGAUUAAGAAGUUCUGAGGGAAGCAAUGAGACUGAAACUUCUGCGCUUUCAGACUAGAUCUUUCCAAGCUUUAACAACAAUACGCCGAUGCCAAAACUUUAAUAAAACUGGAUGUCCUCUAUUAAAGCUGGAUAAUGAAGUUGACGGAACAGCUCACAGAACAGCAAAGUCUUGGAAUUUGUAUGCCCUGAAAACUGGUUCCCCUUCUUUGACAAGUCGAUGCGUGCAAGUCAAGAAUUGGCAAUGGCUCCGAGGAAAUGUAUCGGCUUUGGGAAACAAUGUUUGUUAUCAGAGUGGGGAGAUUUUUUUUUUAUCCUGGAAACGUGUUGGUACGGUGAUGAUGGAAAACUACAAGUUUAAUACAGAGCGUAUUAAAAAGCUUGGGAACAUAUCAUCAAGAUUUUACUCAGUUGUAUCAGCUGGUAAAAUUAUUCCCAAACACAAUAACCAGCUGGUUAAGAGGCCACCAAAGGCAUCAAGGACCAAGCAGCCAUCCAGAACUAACCAGCCACUACUGUCAGACAUGGAGAAUCUGAUGCAGUGCACAGCCUUUGCAACAGCAGAUGAAUAUCAUCUUGGUAAUCUGUGUCAUGACCUGACUUCACAUGGAUAUGUUGAAAUAACAAGUUUGCCUAGAGAUGCUGCGAAUGUUCUGGUCAUGGGUACUGAGAAAGCUGCAAAAGAAGAUGAUCCUGGCAUGAUUUUUUUCUUCCGGGAGGGGGCUGUUGUGUUCUGGAAUGUGGAAGAGAAAAGUAGCAAUGGAAGAACUUUGGAAGUACGCAAUUACAAGCCAUAUGAACUCCACAGGAUCAGUUACGAUGAAGAAUAUCAUGCAUGUGCUAGAACAGCAUGAAAUUCAGCCAUAUGAAGUUGCACUAGUCCAUUGGGAGAAUGAAGAGAUUAACUAUAGAAUAGGAGAUCAAUGAAGAUGCUUCAAUCCUGUUUUAACAGAGGUCAGUCAAAGCUUCAUAAAGGAGAAAUCUUGUUAAAUUCUGAACUGGAUAGUGAUG